CCCAUGCGGCAGUCAGUUUGUUUUUUAUUGAAUGCAUGACCUCUCUCUUUGCAUGAGAGGCUCAGCAAUUUAAGGCCGAUGUCUGUUUUCAUCAUUGCUGACUCCUGACUGCCUGGCACAGUGUUGGUGAAUUGACUGGAACCAGACAAAGCUUCCUAGAAUUGAUGACAACUUACCUGAGCCUGGAAUGAUCUGCAGAAUUUCUGCAGGCCAGUGAAGAAUGGAUGAACACUGCAGCUGAGGAAUAAUGUGAGAAAAAGCCAGUGAUGCUGAAAACAGUUCUUUCAAGCUGGAACCUCAACCAGCCUCCAGUUGGAAGUUCAAGCACAUUUUGUCUCUAGUUCCUACCUUCAUCCUGACGAUAAAGCAAAUGCUUUUGUCAUCUGCAUCCUCAAGUCUCCUUCUCCAUCCCUUAGACCAAUAUGGUUUGGAAAAGUGCUGAGAAGACCAAGCCUUAUUUGUACUCCCCACACUCCUCUCCAAGAGAAAUCACCCAGUCUCCACCAUGCAGAGCUGAUUGGACCAGAAAUGGGUAUCUGAACCAAGGAGAGUCAAUCCUAGGCUGGCUACCUAACCAUCUAUGGCCAGUGCAGAAAGAUAAGCUGGACCAAUUCUACUCUCUCGUGGUAGGUGACAUGAAACGAAUUUUCCAGCUGGCAGUGAAGCUGAAGGUGAGGGGUGACUCUUAGCAUUGCAAAACCAAGAAUAUAUCCAAUUCAAAGUUGUGAGAGAUCAGAAAACAGACGGAGUACAGGAGGAGGAAGCUGACUUCCAGAAAGACAUCCCAAAAGUGGUGCAGAGAGAAGAGACAGUUGAGUCAGGGGAGGAAGGGACAAGUCUGCACUAACCAAUGGACAUUGAGGAAGCAUGAAGAGGAGAGCCAAGGCACCACGAAAAUGCAGGGGCUGAGCUGUUGGCAGAUGCAUGUGGGGGUCCAGCCAUGACCAGAAUGGCCCAGAUGAGCCCAGUCUGAAUUGCCAAGUUUCAGAAUCGUGAGCAAACUAAAUAACUUUUGUUUUAUGCUGCAGAGUUUGGAUUGGUUUUUUGCACAAUAGAAACUAACUAAUAUACUCUCUAUGGGAUAAAUGAGUAGCUUAUCAAGA